rnacentral:rRNA from 1 species
AUUGAACGCUGGCGGCAGGCCUAACACAUGCAAGUCGAGCGGAUGAAGGGAGCUUGCUCCUGGAUUCAGCGGCGGACGGGUGAGUAAUGCCUAGGAAUCUGCCUGGUAGUGGGGGAUAACGUCCGGAAACGGGCGCUAAUACCGCAUACGUCCUGAGGGAGAAAGUGGGGGAUCUUCGGACCUCACGCUAUCAGAUGAGCCUAGGUCGGAUUAGCUAGUUGGUGGGGUAAAGGCCUACCAAGGCGACGAUCCGUAACUGGUCUGAGAGGAUGAUCAGUCACACUGGAACUGAGACACAGUCCAGACUCCUACGGGAGGCAGCAGUGGGGAAUAUUGGACGAUGGGCGAAAGCCUGAUCCAGCCAUGCCGCGUGUGUGAAGAAGGUCUUCGGAUUGUAAAGCACUUUAAGUUGGGAGGAAGGGCAGUAAGUUAAUACCUUGCUGUUUUGACGUUACCAACAGAAUAAGCACCGGCUAACUUCGUG